UAAUCACUUGUCUCUUAAAUGGGGACCUGUAUGAAUGGCUUUUCACUCUUUCACUGUCUCUCUUCCCUCCCUCCUAAUCUUCUAAUCACGUGAAGAAGCGUGAACAAAUAAGAAAGACGAGAAGACCCUGUCGAGCUUAAGCUAACCCUGAAAUGUCGUCUACCUUUUUUCUUAGAAAGAGGUAAAUUUCAGAUAAAGUUUUGGUUGGGGCAACCGUGGAGAAAAAGAAUCCUCCAGUUAGUUAGGAAGAAAACCUUUCACCUAAAAAAUUCAGCGACCCAGUUACUCUGGUAAACGGAAAAAGUUACCGCAGGGAUAACAGCGUUAUCUUCUCUAAGAGCCCAUAUUGACGAGAAGGAUUGCGACCUCGAUGUUGGAUUGGGGUAACC
rnacentral:rRNA from 1 species